rnacentral:rRNA from 1 species
UACGGGGGGGGCAAGCGUUGUUCGGAAUUACUGGGCGUAAAGAGCGUGUAGGCGGCCAGUUAGGUCCGUUGUGAAAACUCGAGGCUCAACCUCGAGACGCCGAUGGAAACCAACUGGCUAGAGUUCGGGAGAGGUGAGUGGAACUGCGAGUGUAGAGGUGAAAUUCGUAGAUAUUCGCAAGAACACCAGUGGCGAAGGCGGCUCACUGGCCCGAUACUGACGCUGAGGCACGAAAGCGUGGGGAGCAAACAGG